rnacentral:tRNA from 1 species
ACAAAUUAGAGCUUGUUAAGUAUUUCAUUUACAUUGAAAAGAAAUUAUUAAUUUUAAUUAAUUUG